UAAACAUUUACACUUGACUUUCGCUUCACUCUCACUUCAUUUUUAUUGAAUUUAACUUAUCUCAUUUACUGAAUCAAAAUGAAGUGAAAGUAAAGUGAGAGUGAAGCGAAAGUCAAGUUGAAUUCAAAGGCAAGUGAAGUGAAAGUAGAGUGAAAGUUUUUAUUUUAGUGAAAAUGAAGUGAAGGGAAAGGGAAGUUAAAAGAAUAGACCCCUCGAAGUGAAAGUGCAGUGUGAAAGUGAAGGUAUAAUAAAAAAGGAUUGAAAUGUGAAAGUAGAAUGAAAGUGAAAGUAAAUGUGAAGUGGAAAGUGAAAGUGGGGUGAAAGUGAAUGUGAAGUGAAAAUGGACUGAAAAUGGGGUGAAAUUACAUAAUCGAUUUAAGUAACUUGUUAUUGAAAGGGAUGCUGUGGGGUGAUUAAGCAUUAAGGACAUGUUUUAUAUGCUGACUGUAUGAAAAUAAUCCCUAUAAAUGCAAUAUGAUGAAUUGACUUCAGAUCACAAUGUUCAUACCUUGAGCGUUCUUAACUCUUUUUUUAUGGUAAGAAGAUUUCUUCUACUGCAAAUUUUCCCGAAUCGUCGUUAAAAUAAACGUUGAUAAUAAAUUCAUAAAAAUAUAAAAUAGGUUCAAAAGGAAAAAUUGUAAAAUUUGUUUUUCAUAUUCUUCCUUUUUUUUAUAAUAUACAAAGAGAUUAGACAUAAAAAUAUCCCCUAAUGAUCUUAAAGCUUCACAAUCUUCAAUUUUUUUUUUCUUUUUCGUGCAACGUCACUAUGUAUAUAUAUGAAAAGAGACGUUCCUCUCGUUAACGUCAAGGUCACGUCGACAUUGCAGAAUUUUAAUGGUACCCAGAAUGAAUCUCGGAGAUACUUGGGAUGCAGUGAAAUCACAGAAGAAGCAAGAAAACUAGGUUGAAUUUUGUCGAAGCCCCCGGAGAAUCGAAAUGUAACCUACAAAGCGCUGAGCGGUUUCUACGAUGAGGGGGACCAGACAGGAAAUUACGUCUCCGGACAUCCGCUUGAGCACUCCAUAGAACGGUCCGGGGAGAACGGAGAGGGCAACGACGCUCUUGACUUGGCUACGUUAGAGUUCAGAGGUCAAAAGGAAGAACGACUUCCGCGUUUGGAAGCGACAUGCUUUCAAAAGAAGCAAUACGUAGCGCGCGACGCAUUGAAUAAUAUACAAAAAAUAAAAAAAAAAAAAAAUUGCUCACACUCGCAGAAAUAUCGACUUUUUAAGGAAACCAGGGAAUUUUUAUCAAAAUUCAUGUAUUACGGAAUCUUAUCACAUUUCAAAUCUUUUUGAAAAAAAAAUCUCUUUCACUAACUUAAAUUUAGAAAUAAUAUAUAGAAAAUCAAAGUUUGCUGUUUUUUCUCUAACGAAAGUAUUUCCUCCAUAUUGGAUACGCCAUUUUGAAUUUUGGUACUCUACACAGGAAAUGAAAAGUGUUGUUUUAACCUGAAUUCGGGUGAAAACAACACUUUUCAUUUCCUGUGUAAUUAUGACGCGCUCUGAAAAAGACCAAAGGACCUAAGAAACAAAAUUGUUUUUAAUAUAUUUGUAAAUUUGAAGAAUGAAAAUAAAGGGCCCUUUUCCCAAGGGGCCGUUACAUUACCCCCCCCCUUAAGGACCGUUACGAUACGUAAAAAUAUAGGUCACAGUUGACCCAUUUUUUAACUUACAGGUCAAAAAGUGGUCCCAUAAAGCCCCACCCCCCCGGAGGGGCCUUUACAUUACUUCAAAAUUCAAAUCAUUGCAAAAGCGGUUAAGCGCCAAAAUUUGAAAUAAAUUUAUUUACACGUUUCCAUUUAAAAAGAUUUUUUUCUAAAUUGUAUUUUUAAAUUCGUUUUUAAAUUCGUUUUUUUUUAAUAUUUUGAAGUAAAUUUACAUUAUUCACAUAUUUUAACAUGUUUUUUAACAAAGAUUUUUUCUGAUAAUUUUUGUAAAGUAAAAACACUAUCGGUUACUUAACCUUCGUUCUUGCUGUAGAUAAGUUAUUAUUUAUUACUCUUUUGCUAUCUAUAUAAUUGUCCAAGUAUUUUUCUGUCAAUCUUAUAAAAGUCAAAUUACUACGAAGUAACUUACAUUUGUAAAUGUAACAAUAUUUAGAGAGUUGUAUAAUUAUAAAGGCUCAAAAUUUUUAAUUAAAAAAAAGUCAAAAUGCCACAAUUUCUACGUGUGAAUUUUAUAUUCAUUUUGUUAAUAAUAUUCAUUAUUGACUAUACCUAUGUAAAUGCAAGCUUUUCUGGAUCUACCUUAAGAUGUCCGGAAAACAAGAAUGGAAUGUGUAAAUUAAAUUGCAAUAAGUCUAGCGACAAAGCGGAUGGUAUUAAAGGAUGUAGUAAAAAUCGGAUGGGAAACGCAAUGACUUGUUGUGUUGCACUCGGCUGAGGGUAAUGUUUAAAAGAAAAUAUAUUUAUAAAAGACAAAUAAUGAAAUGUUAAUUGAUCAUAUCAAUCAUUAUUAUAGCGUAAAAAUGAAAAAUAAAAUUUAUAUGGGAAAAACAAAAUAAAAUUUUUCUAGCAACCUUGAA